rnacentral:lncRNA from 1 species
ACUAGCAAACAAUUAGAAAGUGCAAUCAAACAAAGCACGAAUUUUACUCAAAUCUUGUAGAACGUCAUUAACUAGCAAUAGUACACACUUAUGUACUAAAAUACUUAGUAAAGAGAUUGUCACUGAAUCAGCAACUCCACAUUUACUGUCUUUAUAUAAAGCAGCAAAAGAUUAGUGUUUGUGGCUCAUCAUUGACUGAAGCACAGGCUCUACUCUCCAGCACAAUGGUGAACCACAAAACUACAUUAAACUAACAGAUCUCUUUUGUGCAAACACACAUUAAUACAGCUGAGUUCAGUAUUUACUCUCAUCAUCAGUGUAUGACUUUGCAUAACAUUUUUUUCUAUAAACAUCUACUAAUAUUUUAGUUAAAUUAACUUGUUUUGCUUGGUAAACCUGACUGUUACGUUUUACAGUAUAUUGCUGUUUUUCCCUUGAAUUAACCAAGUAGGGCUCGCUGCAGCCUGCGGUGGACAUCCAACCCCGCCCACAUCCAAGUGUGACGUCAGAAGUCACGCCCAUCCCCGACACAACCCCGCCCACGUCCAAGUGUGACGUAAACGAAAGCCACGCCCCUAUCAAAUACGUCACAUCAUGUGAUAUCCCCGUACCUGGAAACCCGGAAGUAGUCUUUGAUGGCAUUCUGUUGAUUUUUACUGUCCAUCUGGAGAACGGCAGGCCCUGUCACCUCCCCACAGAAUAACCCACGAUGACUCUGUACCACGCUGGACCAAUGUCCCUUACAAACUUCCACUUUAUGUCCUCUUGGCGCUCCUGUUAAAAUGGAGAAUACAUACGUGUUGGGGUAUAUAUGUGUCCACUAAAAAUUAUUUACCUCAUCAUUCUACAUAAACAUAUUUAUGAUUUUAAACCACAAAAAUCAAUCAAUAUCUAAAGAAAUGCUCUCACCAUACCUCCAUGCACCACUGCAUGGCUUAUGUGGUCCUUCAAGUGAACUGUAACAAGUAAUUUUCUUUACUGGUGAAACUGCAGCAGGGACCCCUUCACCCGGGAGAACUGCCCUGCAUCAGGCUUGGACUGAAAAUGUGUAGAAUGCUGUAAAACAUGACAAACAAACAUUAUGUGAUCUUUUCGUUAAUAUAGAAGAAUACAAAGAUAAUUUGUGACAUACACAGAGUU